rnacentral:rRNA from 1 species
AUUGAACGCUGGCGGCAGGCCUAACACAUGCAAGUCGAGCGGGGCGGCGGACGGGUGAGUAAUGCCUAGGAAUCUGCAUGGUAGUGGGGGAUAACGUCAGGAAACGGGCGCUAAUACCGCAUACUAUAAGAUGAGGAGAGGUCGGAUUAGCUAGUUGGUGGGGUAAAGGCCUAACAAGGCGACGAACCGGAACUGGUGUGAGAGGAUGAUCAGUCACACUGGAACUGUGACACGGUCCAGACUCCUACGGUAGGCAGCAGUGGGGAAGAUUGGACAAUGGGCGAAAGCCUGAUCCAGCCAUGCCGCGUGUGUGAAGAAGGUCUUCGGAUUGUAAAGCACUUUAAGUUGGGAGGCGUUACCAACAGAAUAAGCACCGGCUAACUUCGUGCCAGCAGCCGCGGUAAUUC